GAUCAUGGCUCAGGACGAACGCUGGCGGCGUGCCUAACACAUGCAAGUCGAGCGGAGACAGUGAGUAGCUUGCUAUGAGCUGUUUUAGCGGCGGACGGGUGAGUAACGCGUGAGCAACCUUUCCCAGACAGGGGAAUAACACACCGAAAGGUGUACUAAUACCGCAUAAGACCACGGUUUCACAUGGAACUGAGGUAAAAGAUUUAUCGGUUUGGGGUGGGCUCGCGUCCGAUUAGGUAGUUGGUGAGGUAACGG
rnacentral:rRNA from 1 species